rnacentral:tRNA from 1 species
GCCCCGAUGGUGGAGAAGGUAGACACGACGGAUUCAAAAUUCGUUGCCGAAAGGCGUGAGGGUUCGAGUCCCUCUCGGGGCA